rfam:Zootermopsis nevadensis contig20727, whole genome shotgun sequence.
UGGUCUAGCGGUCAAAACGCUGGCCUUGUAAUCCUGAGGUCUCGGGUUCGACUCCCGG